rnacentral:ncRNA from 2 species
AUUUAAUAUCCGGGAAUGAGUGAUUCUUUUCUGAGGAAAAGAAUUUAAAAGGGAAGUCAGUAAGAGUCUGACGCGGUCCCGCCACUGUAAUAGGGAGUUGCUUCACAUAGUGUCACUGGAUUUGUUUCGGGAAGACGUGGAGUAAUGAUGACCUAAAGCCAGGAAACCUGCUUGUUUCGUAAGCGGUGG